CCUACGGGAGGCAGCAGUGAGGAAUAUUGGUCAAUGGACGAGAGUCUGAACCAGCCAAGUCGCGUGAAGGACGACUGUGCCAUGGGUUGUAAACUUCUUUUAUAAAGGAACAAAACGAGGCUCGUGAGCCUUUUCGCAUGUACUUUAUGAAUAAGGAUCGGCUAACUCCGUGCCAGCAGCCGCGGUAAUACGGAGGAUCCGAGCGUUAUCCGGCUUUAUUGGGUUUAAAGGGGGCGUAGAUGGGAUGUUAAGUCAGUGGUGAAAGCGUGGGGCUGAACCGUAAAAGUGCAGUUGAUACUGGCAGUCUUGAGUACAGUUGAGGUAUGCGGAAUUCGUGGUGUAGCGGUGAAAUGCUUAGAUAUCACGAAGAACCCCGAUUGCGAAGGCAGCUUACUGGACUGUGACUGACGUUGAUGCACGAAAGUGUGGGUAUCAAACAGGAUUAGAUACCCGAGUAGUC
rnacentral:rRNA from 1 species